rnacentral:rRNA from 1 species
AAUGCCCUGCUUCCAGGAAAAGCCUCUAAGCAUCAGGUAACAUCAAAUCGUACCCCAAACCGACACAGGUGGUCAGGUAGAGAAUACCAAGGCGCUUGAGAGAACUCGGGUGAAGGAACUAGGCAAAAUGGUGCCGUAACUUCGGGAGAAGGCACGCUGAUAUGUAGGUGAAGCGACUUGCUCGUGGAGCUGAAAUCAGUCGAAGAUACCAGCUGGCUGCAACUGUUUAUUAAAAACACAGCACUGUGCAAACACGAAAGUGGACGUAUACGGUGUGACGCCUGCCCGGUGCCGGAAGGUUAAUUGAUGGGGUCAGCGCAAGCGAAGCUCUUGAUCGAAGCCCCGGUAAACGGCGGCCGUAACUAUAACGGUCCUAAGGUAGCGAAAUUCCUUGUCGGGUAAGUUCCGACCUGCACGAAUGGCGUAAUGAUGGCCAGGCUGUCUCCACCCGAGACUCAGUGAAAUUGAACUCGCUGUGAAGAUGCAGUGUACCCGCGGCAAGACGGAAAGACCCCGUGAACCUUUACUAUAGCUUGACACUGAACAUUGAGCCUUGAUGUGUAGGAUAGGUGGGAGGCUUUGAAGUGUGGACGCCAGUCUGCAUGGAGCCGACCUUGAAAUACCACCCUUUAAUGUUUGAUGUUCUAACGUGGACCCGUGAUCCGGGUUGCGGACAGUGUCUGGUGGGUAGUUUGACUGGGGCGGUCUCCUCCUAAAGAGUAACGGAGGAGCACGAAGGUUGGCUAAUCCUGGUCGGACAUCAGGAGGUUAGUGCAAUGGCAUAAGCCAGCUUGACUGCGAGCGUGACGGCGCGAGCAGGUGCGAAAGCAGGUCAUAGUGAUCCGGUGGUUCUGAAUGGAAGGGCCAUCGCUCAACGGAUAAAAGGUACUCCGGGGAUAACAGGCUGAUACCGCCCAAGAGUUCAUAUCGACGGCGGUGUUUGGCACCUCGAUGUCGGCUCAUCACAUCCUGGGGCUGAAGUAGGUCCCAAGGGUAUGGCUGUUCGCCAUUUAAAGUGGUACGCGAGCUGGGUUUAGAACGUCGUGAGACAGUUCGGUCCCUAUCUGCCGUGGGCGCUGGAGAACUGAGGGGGGCUGCUCCUAGUACGAGAGGACCGGAGUGGACGCAUCACUGGUGUUCGGGUUGUCAUGCCAAUGGCACUGCCCGGUAGCUAAAUGCGGAAGAGAUAAGUGCUGAAAGCAUCUAAGCACGAAACUUGCCCCGAGAUGAGUUCUCCCUGAGACCUAGAGUCUCCUGAAGGAACGUUGAAGACGACGACGUUGAUAGGCCGGGUGUGUAAGCGCAGCGAUGCGUUGAGCUAACCGGUACUAAUGAACCGUGAGGCUUAACCUUAC